UGAGCGAGUGGGUGUGUGUGCAAAGAUG
rnacentral:piRNA from 1 species